UACAGAGGUCUCAAGCGUUGUUCGGAUUCAUUGGGCGUAAAGGGUGCGUAGGCGGCGCGGUAAGUCGGGUGUGAAAUCUUGGAGCUUAACUCCGAAACUGCAUUCGAUACUGCCGUGCUUGAGGACUGGAGAGGAGACUGGAAUUUACGGUGUAGCAGUGAAAUGCGUAGAUAUCGUAAGGAAGACCAGUGGCGAAGGCGAGUCUCUGGACAGUUACUGACGCUGAGGCACGAAGGCCAGGGGAGCAAACGGG
rnacentral:rRNA from 1 species